UUCUGAUAUGCAAAAAGAUAUGGCUGUUCUUCUUCCAAAUCCUCCCAUUACUGGCCAGUUACAGAAACCAUAAGCAAAAUCAUGAUAUGUUACAUUGAAUUCCUUUGAUUCAUCUAUCUUACCAAACAGAUGGUUUUGUAACCAUCUGAUGGCUGUAAAUGUGUCUUUUAGAGCCAUGGACGACUCUUAUUUUACAAAAUUUGGUGGAAAAGACAAAUCCUGGCUGAAAAUGAAUCCCCUUUCCAAGCCCUAAUCUGACGGGAGAGAUUCUUUCACUCAUUCUUUCUCUUCGGUUACAAAAUUUAAUGAACGCCGCAUUAAAAUCCAAUUAAGCCCUAUAUUAGGGAUUUUCUUCUCCUCCCGUUGUUCGCCGGUUACACAAGCCGUUAUCAAAAGAUUCAAAACCAUUAUUUGAAACAUUCAAUCCCUUAGAUUCAUACCUGAUAAUCAAUCUCUGACGUUACAGGAACCCCCUUGAAUGUUCAACUACAUAAAUCUCAACAUAAUCUUCCCAGGUUUCUCCGUUUUUUUCUUCAGCAUGCUCUCUCAAAAAAACCAGGGAAUGAAGAAGAACACGAUACUCUCUAAGUAUCCUCCAAAUGAAGGAAAAUCACGAUGCCUCCAUUUUUUUCUCAAUCUUUGUUAUCAGUUUUUUCUCUCAUCGGAUACUUUCUGCAGAGGAGAACAAUAGAAGAAGAAGAUUGGUGGAUAGUCAUGCUAAACGAGUAAUCAAAACUGAAGGGUCGGGGUUAAGAGUGAAGGACUAAGAAGAUGGAGAUGUAGUAUGAACAUUAAUCACCAGCAAUUUCAAGACCUACAAGUGCAGAAAACAAUGUAAAGAUCAGCAGCUUACCACGGCCUCACAAGCCAUCUCUUGCUUGAACUAAGGUCCGUGUUUCACAAUGCUUUUUAAGAGUCCGAUUAAAUUUUGUUUUACUUUGCAUAUUAUUAUUCUUCAGUUUUUUACUAUUUCAAAGUGACUUGCAAGACUGUCCAAGCUUUAAGGAUGAUGUAUUGAACGAUAUUGUUUCGAGAUGGAAAGGCACUUGCAUGGCCCGGGAUGAUUACAGAAAAUCUCACCUUAGAAGGUUAAAUGGUGAGUUAUAUCACUUGCAUGGCCCGGGAUGAUGUAUUGAACGAUAUUGUUUCGAGGUGGAAAGGCACUUGCAUGGGCCUGGAUGAUUACAGAAAAUCUCACCUUAGAAGGUUAAAUGGUGAGUUAUAUCUCUUAUAUUGUAUGUCCAAACGCCCAAACUCAGUGGCUAUAAAGGUGCAUCUACUGUCUACAUUUUUUCGUUGUUGUAGAUAAUUUUGCAACAUGGCUAAGAAAAUCUAGAAUAAAUAUCGAAAAAUUGCUCGCACCAGAAAUAAUAGUACGUCAUGCUAUUCGUUGGGCCUCUGAAAUGAUUUAUUACACUACAUUUGUAAUAACGCAAACGGAAUUAUCUUUGCCACAUAUGUAAACCUACAUAAAUUAAGGUCUAAAUAAGACCUCCAUAUGAGAAUUUUUAAGACCCACUGUUCAAGAAGUGGAUAUAUUUGUAAACGAUAGAUUUUCCCAGUCAAAG